rnacentral:rRNA from 1 species
CCAGCAGCCGCGGUAAUUCCAGCUCCAAUAGCGUAUAUUAAAGUUGUUGCAGUUAAAACGCUCGUAGUCUGAUGUAAUGGGGAGUGGAGUGGGGAGCAGCGAUGCUCUUUGCUUUGGUCCUCAUCAUAGGGACAGCAAUGUCCCAGUUUACUUUGAGGAAAUUAGAGUGUUCAAAGCAGGCGAAAUCGUCUUGAAUACAUUAGCAUGGGAUAAUAGAAUACGACCAUUGGUCAAACUUUAUUGGUUUCUGGGGCCAGGGUAAUGAUUAACAGGGACAGUUGGGGUCGCUUGUAUCCGGUGGUUAGAGGUGAAAUUCUAUGACCCAUCGGGGACAAACAAAUGCGAAGGCA